UGUGGGUGGUGUAGGGGGAGAACUCCUCUCUGUAAUGGUGUGGGUGGUGUAGGGGGAGAACUCCUCUCUGUAAUGGUGUGGGUGGUGUAGGGGGAGAACUCCUCUCUGUAAUGGUGUGGGUGGUGUAGGGGGAGAACUCCUCUCUGUAAUGGUGUGGGUGGUGUAGGGGGAGAACUCCUCUCUGUAAUGGUGUGGGUGGUGUAAGGGGAGAACUCCUCUCUGUAAUGGUGUGGGUGGUGUAGGGGGGGAACUCCUCUCUGUAAUGGUGUGGGUGGUGUAGGGGGGGAACUCCUCUCUGUAAUGGUGUGGGUGGUGUAGGGGGAGAACUCCUCUCUGUAAUGGUGUGGGUGGUGUAGGGGGAGAACUCCUCUCUGUAAUGGUGUGGGUGGUGUAGUGGGAGAACUCCUCUCUGUAAUGGUGUGGGUGGUGUAGGGGGGAACUCCUCUCUGUAAUGGUGUGGGUGGUGUAGGGGGAGAACUCCUCUCUGUUCCACCCUAUAGGUCAGUGGUUCCACCCUUCUGAUAUUUCCCUGUUCUCUGAAUCGCCCCUUCCUCUCCUCCUCCUCUCCCCUUCCUCUCCUCCUCCUCUCCCCCUCCUCUCACUUUCCUCUCCCCCUCCUCUCCUCCUCCUCUCCCCUUCCUCUCCCCCUCCUCUCCUCCUCCUCUCCCCUUCCUCUCCUCCUCCUCUCCUCCUCCUCUCCCCUUCCUCUCCCCCUCCUCUCCCCCUCCUCUCCUCUUGCUCUCCUCUUCCUCUCCUCCUCCUCUCCUCCUCCUCUCCCCUUCCUCUCCUCCUCCUCUCCCCCUCCUCUUCCUCUCCUCCUCCUCUCCUCCUCCUCUCCCCUUCCUCUCCCCCUCCUCUCCCCUUCCUCUCCUCCUCCUCUCCUCCUCCUCUCCUCCUCCUCUCCCCUUCCUCUCCCCUUCCUCUCCUCCUCCUCUCCUCCUCCUCUCCCCUCCCUCUCCUCCUCCUCUCCCCCUCCUCUCCCCUUCCUCUCCUCCUCCUCUCCUCCUCCUCUCCCCUUCCUCUCCCCUUCCUCUCCUCCUCCUCUCCUCCUCCUCUCCUCCUCCUCUCCCCUUCCUCUCCUCCUCCUCUCCUCCUCCUCUCCCCUUCCUCUCCUCCUCCUCUCCCCUUCCUCUCCUCCUCCUCUCCCCUUCCUCUCCCCUUACUCUCCGCCUCCUCUCCUCCUCCUCUCCCCUUCCUCUCCCCUUCCUCUCCUCCUCCUCUCCCCCUCCUCUCCCCUUCCUCUCCUCCUCCUCUCCCCUUCCUCUCCCCUUCCUCUCCUCCUCCUCUCCUCCUCCUCUCCCCUUCCUCUCCUCCUCCUCUCCCCUUCCUCUCCUCCUCCUCUCCUCCUCCUCUCCUCCUCCUCUCCCCCUCCUCUCCCCUUCCUCCUCCUCUCCCCUUCCUCUCCCCUUCCUCUCCACCUCCUCUCCUCCUCCUCCUCUCCUCCUUCUCUCCCCCUCCUCUCCGCCUCCUCUCCCCUUCCUCUCCUCCUCCUCUCCCCCUCCUCUCCCCUUCCUCUCCUCCUCCUCUCCCCCUCCUCUCCUCCUCCUCUCCCCUUCCUCUCCUCCUCCUCUCCCCCUCCUCUCCCCCUCCUCUCCCCUUCCUCUCCUCCUCCUCUCCCCCUCCUCUCCCCCUCCUCUCCUCCUCCUCUCCCCCUCCUCUCCCCUUCCUCUCCUCCUCCUCUCCCCUUCCUCUCCCCCUCCUCUCCCCCUCCUCUCCCCUUCCUCUCCUCCUCCUCUCC
rnacentral:lncRNA from 1 species